rnacentral:rRNA from 1 species
GACGAACGCUGGCGGCGUGCUUAACACAUGCAAGUCGAACGGAAAGGCCCUGCUUUUGUGGGGUGCUCGAGUGGCGAACGGGUGAGUAACACGUGAGUAACCUGCCCUUGACUUUGGGAUAACUUCAGGAAACUGGGGCUAAUACCGGAUAGGAGCUCCUGCUGCAUGGUGGGGGUUGGAAAGUUUCGGCGGUUGGGGAUGGACUCGCGGCUUAUCAGCUUGUUGGUGGGGUAGUGGCUUACCAAGGCUUUGACGGGUAGCCGGCCUGAGAGGGUGACCGGCAACAUUGGGACUGAGAUACGGCCCAGACUCCUACGGGAGGCAGCAGUGGGGAAUAUUGCACAAUGGGCGGAAGCCUGAUGCAGCAACGCCGCGUGCGGGAUGACGGCCUUCGGGUUGUAAACCGCCUUCGCCUGUGACGAAGCGUGAGUGACGGUAAUGGGUAAAGAAGCACCGGCUAACUACGUG